rnacentral:rRNA from 1 species
UACGUAGGGGGCAAGCGUCAUCCGGAAUUAUUGGGCGUAAAGAGCUCGUAGGCGGUUUGUCGCGUCUGCCGUGAAAGUCCGGGGCUCAACUCCGGAUCUGCGGUGGGUACGGGCAGACUAGAGUGAUGUAGGGGAGACUGGAAUUCCUGGUGUAGCGGUGAAAUGCGCAGAUAUCAGGAGGAACACCGAUGGCGAAGGCAGGUCUCUGGGCAUUAACUGACGCUGAGGAGCGAAAGCAUGGGGAGCGAACAGG